rnacentral:rRNA from 1 species
GUAGGUGGGCAAGCGUUGUCCGGAAUUAUUGGGCGUAAAGCGCGCGCAGGGCGGUCCUUUAAGUCUGAUGUGAAAGCCCACGGCUCAACCGUGGAGGGUCAUUGGAAACUGGGGGACUUGAGUACAGAAGAGGAAAGCGGAAUUCCAAGUGUAGCGGUGAAAUGCGUAGAGAUUUGGAGGAACACCAGUGGCGAAGGCGGCUUUCUGGUCUGUAACUGACGCUGAGGCGCGAAAGCGUGGGGAGCAAACAGGAUUAGAUACCCUGGUAGUCCACGCCGUAAACGAUGAGUGCUAAGUGUUAGGGGGUUUCCGCCCCUUAGUGCUGCAGCUAACGCAUUAAGCACUCCGCCUGGGGAGUACGGCCGCAAGGCUG